AACGCGAAGAACCUUACCUGGGCUCGAACGGCUUCGGACAAUCCUUGGAAACAGGGACUUCCCGCAAGGGACUGGAGUCGAGGUGCUGCAUGGUUGUCGUCAGCUCGUGUCGUGAGAUGUUGGGUUAAGUCCCGCAACGAGCGCAACCCCUACUCGAUGUUGCUAAUCCCGCAAGGGAUGCACUCUUCGAGAACUGCCUUCGAUAAGAAGGAGGAAGGUGGGGACGACGUCAAAUCCUCAUGGCCCUUAUGUCCAGGGCUACACACGUGCUACAAUGGCCGGUACAACGGGAAGCAAUACCGCAAGGUGGAGCCAAACCCUGAAAGCCGGCCUCAGUUCAGAUCGUGGGCUGCAACUCGCCCGCGUGAAGGCGGAAUCGCUAGUAAUCGCGAAUCAGCAGGUCGCGGUGAAUACGUUCCCGGGCCUUGUACACACCGGCUAC
rnacentral:rRNA from 1 species